rnacentral:lncRNA from 1 species
CUUGUUCUACUACUUAUUGAAUUGUACACAAAGGCACGUUUUAUAACAUCAAGUUACUGAUGCGUUUACGUGCAAUCAAUGCACAACCAACUCAUAGGUAACAACUCAUAUCUCUAGGUUUGAAGAUUUAUAUGAUAUUACCGUCUCACGAUCACUCGAGAUAAAUUCCAUGAAGUGAUACAAGUGAGCGUGGGUUUAUUCCAAUACUCAUAACUUAUGAGCACUCAUGAAUGUUGUAGCAACCAUUGCUAUGACUAAACCCAUUUAGCCAUCUACAAACUCGAUUCAUGACAGUCUUGAUUCAUACCUACUUCCAACAUAUGAACGACUGUGGAGUGUUUAAAUAACUUAGUCAUUCGGAAAGAAUAACCUAGCUAUUUUGGAAGUCAAAACAUGCAAAGUGAAACACAAUAAUAAUCGAAUCCAAUAUGGUCUCAGAACCCUUUUGAAUAUAAAUAGAACCACCUUUUAUUUAUCACCAUAUUGAUUACACAUUAUUCAUUGUAUAAUGUUUCAAACAAUCAACUUAAGACUUGAAUAAAAACAACAGUCGUCCCAUGCUCCUAGCAUGUACACUUUGUUUUUCUAAACAAUAGUUAUGCCAUACUCCAAGUAUGCACACUAUGUUUGUCUAUGAUCCUUACAUUGUGAUGUAGAUCAAUUGAACAUGAUUCCAUUGAUACUCAUUUCACAAUCCCAAAUCCUUAUUGUAAAUGUGAGAAUCCCCGAUUCCUAUCAUUUACCAAAAAAUCUGUUAGAUUUUAAACUUUUAUGCAAUGUUCCUCUUGUAAUGAUUAUGCACAAAGUCACCAAAACCUUGUCACCAGUCAUUACAGAGUAUUCCAAAGAAGGUCAACUUCUAUGGAACGGAAGUCUCAUAUUCAAAGUACAUUGCUUUGAACAUCCUUCUUGCAUUAAGGUUUUCUAAUCUUACAUAGAUUGAAUAACUUCCACCUAUGGAGACAUUUCCAUAGUCCCAUUUUGACUAUCACUUCCGAAAAAGAGUUACUUCUUUUCAGAAUAUGUCAAUAUGGUCCUUUCCAACUGUCCUUGAGCAACCAAUCUUUGGCGAACCUCAGACUUCCAACUGUCCUUAAGCAACCAAUCUUUGGCGAACCUUAGAUUUGUUCUCGACAAUUGCUUAAUCACUUUAGUCAUAUCCAGUUCUAGACUUUUCCCUUCUCAAUGCCUUAAGCAUUUGGAAAAUUUAGAAAAGAUGAAUAUUAUAGCACAUGCAAUCGAUCCUAUAUCCGAAGCAUAUGGGACACGAUUCAUGAUGUUUGACAUAAAGACAUGAUACUAGACCAGUCUUUUGCUACAAUAUUUUUUAUUUGCCAUGUUUUCAAAAUUUAACUAUGAAGAGGGAUGCCGUAAUCAUAAUCGAAUUUUGAAAACGCAAUAUAUAUAGAAUUUCUUCAAGUUGAACCAUUCCAACAUAAAAUUCAUAUAUAUAUUCUUGACUAAAGAUGAUUAAAAUCUCAAUCUAAGCUUUAGAAUUGAAAUGAAGUAUAAUUUCCUCUCCCUUAAUUAUAGCAAAACAACUUUUCAACCCCUGCAACUUCACGAAUUGAAACUUUGUUUUCUAUAAUUAACAUUGCUAACUUGCAACACUAAACGUAAUAAUCAUGCUCCCACUAACGUGAUGAUUAUCAGCAUAACACUUAUGCUCCCACUAGCUUUGACAUAUUUCCAGGAAUCUGCUGGACUUCUGAAAUUUAGAUUCAUACACCCUUUCUUAGAUAGCUCACAUGUGUGUCUAAGCAAUUUCAAGAACUAUGAAAAGGGAUGCCGUAAUCAUAGUCUCAAUUUCUUAGACCUUUGCCAUUUCUCACAAGUCCAUGUUAGUGUGCCGGUUAACCACACACGCUCCACUAACGACUUUUGAAAAUGCAAAUAACACAAUUGAUAUCUACGUAAAAUCUACUUAGUGAAAGCGUUUCCUCACCAUCAUUUUCAUGAAUCGGAGAGAAACCUUAUGACACUUAGAUUUUAUAGUGUAUGAGUUCCUAUCCAUGUGAAUUUGUCAAAACCAUAAUCACAAGAUAAGGUUAGUGACAAAUUCAGCCUUACAUGGAUUAAACUUGUUCAAUCUUAGUUUCUUGUCACCUUGGUAGCACAAGGCCCACCAAUGCUUCCAAGUUGAACUCUGAUAACUCACAUGCAAAUUCAACUUAUUUGAAGUAGGUACAGAAAUAAGAAUUAUGUCAACACGAUAGGUUGCAAACCUUAAGUCGUGUGCUAGUGAUAAAUUACAGGUUUUACUCUUGAUUAAAUCUUGAAACUCUUUCAGGAUCUUUAAGGCUCCCACUGUCCCCUUGACAUAUAAGUUUCCCCAGUCAAGAACCAUUCCUUGACAAAACAAAUAUUCAAGGGAUAGUGCGGAUUCUUAUCAAGACUAACACUUCACACAAUUGGUCUUAGUUGGUCUUUGUCUCAUCCAAGACAUCACAACUUACCAAUCUCAAAUGUACAAGAGUAGAAAACAUUUUACUCUUACAUUUGACUAGUGUUAAUAAAUCUUCCUUUAUGUCACUCAAAGUUACAAUCUUGGAGUAUGACUCUAAGAAUUGUUUUGGAACGAAGUAUGACUCAUCUUCUUGAUUUUAACCAAUCCAACAAUUCAUGACCUCUCUUCUUAGCCAUAACAAUGCACUAAGACGUCCUUAGAGUAUGAAUUUGUGAUAUGGUUUCAUAAUCAUUAAGAUGAUCAUGAAAUACGAUACUAAAGUACUCUCCCAUCCUUUCAGAUUUGAGAAACUUUUAUCUUUCUGCCUAAUUUGAUUCUUCUCAUUUGUUUUGUCAUACAUUGUAACCUUUCCAAUGUUACAGAAUUAUACUUAACCUCAUAAGUAUAAUCAUAUUUACUAAUCUUUAGUAAAUCAUGACAAAUCAAUCUUUGUGGUGGACCUUGACCAGCGCACACCCAGUGUACCUAAUUCCUUAGUCCUUCAAUUGACUCACAUAUACAUGUGAUCAAAGAAUUAGUCUUAAUUUUCAAAGAUGAAAAUUCUCAUUCAUCAUACAAUACAACUUGUAUGAUUCCAAGUUUCUGUCCAAUUGAAACUUGGGUGAUGAAAAACUUUCUUCAUUUGGUAAAUUCAGACACUACCACAAAUGAAAGAAUCAAAUCCACUUUCCAAUAUUGCUAUUACUGGAAACAUAUAAGCAACAAUUUUCCACAGAUGCCAUUGUAAGGAUAUUUUUAAAAUAAAUAAAAUUAAAACCCUUUUUUUUUUUUUUUUUAAAACUUUGCGGAAAAACUUAUCCUUACAAUCCACAUGAAAACCUUGUUGUUAUCUAUUCAUAAGCAAUAUAUUAUAACUCUUAAGCAACAGCUCAAAAUUCUGAUUACCGAACCAUGCGAUCGAAACCCACCUUCGCAAUCAGAAUCAACAUAUACUUACUUUAAGCUUCCUAUCUUUUCUUUGAUUCUUAAAAACAUCAGCAUGUGACCCAUUCACAUUAUGUAAUAAGAAUCUCCAAAUAGGAACUUAAUAGAGUUAGACAGUGGACUUUACCCGAAGUAGAGUCAAACCUCUUGACUUGAUCAACCUUAUGACCUUUCAGGUGAAUAGGGCAGCUUCGCAACCAAUGCCCCUUCCUUUGGCAACAAAACACAUGGACCCUUUGGUAAUGGCACAUGAGACUAUCUCAGACUUAGCCUUUCUCUUUACCAUUUGGUCAACCGAGUUGACUAUGGCCGAUCCCUUUCCAUUGGGAAGAGAAAUCCUUUUCUAGAUAUCCAAUGCUACCAUUGUCAAUGUCCAUUUAAGACUUGGGAAGUUGUUCUUUUAAUCAAAUUUGCUUUACUGGUGUUCCAAAUCAUUGCUGAUUCCACAACACCAAGCAAAUAGAUAACAUCAUUAAGGGUCAUGUCAUAGUCUGUCUCAUAGUAGUCCCAAAGAGACUCACUAUGUUACUAAGAAAGUGAUUGAACAUCCAACUUUCACGAGACUUUGACACCCAACUCUCCCGGCUUGUCAAUAUGUGACUUUAUCUCCAAGAUGUGAGCACACAUAGACUAUGCUUGCCAAUAGGGAUUGAGUGACUUUAAACUUUUCAAGAACUUGUGGGUGAGGGAGAAUAAUUGGAGGAGGUGGAGGAAGUGAAGCAUGAUGUUGAGGGACACCAUCUUCAAGAGAUUUGGGAAGAUCAUAGUUGUCUGAACCAGACAUCUAUAAUGGGAGAAAAUCAAGUUAGUUGAUUCAAAGUCCUUAAUAUAACACCCAAUAUGAAAUAUUAAGGCUAGGACCCAACACAAUAUUUUAUAAUUUGGAAGAGGGAUGCCGUAAUCCAAGCUAUAAAAUAUUUGAAGGUAGGCGAAUGACGAUUCACCAAUUUCCACCAUGAAAAACGAAAUAAUUUAUUAGGUUUUAAUUGGAUUUGAAAUUCCUAGAUCUUUUGAGAUUCAUUGAACUUUUCAAUGGCAUGUUUCAAUCUCGAGUGUGCCCUCUCAAAUUUUGUGACUGGGAUGCCGAGGAUCACAAAACAAGGUGUGAAUAACCAUACCAAUUCACUUGGUACCCUUAAUAUUAUCACCUAAUCAAUGUGCCGGUUAACCACACACGCUCCAUUGAUCUAUGACAAACAUUAAGUCACCCUUCGUGAUCCUUACUAGUCCAAGUUAGUGUGCCGGUUAACCACACACGCUCCACCAACGACUUGGUAAGGUACAAAGUGUGAAUUCCAUGGGCUAGCACCAAAUUCACAUUUUUCCUAAAGUAACUAAGAUUGGGAAUUAAAUAAAAAAUUUUUAGUUACUUUAUAAUAAUCAUUAUACUUUUAAUGAGAAUUUAAAGUCAUUGUCCUACCCGUUCGGCUAACGACCCUCCACCGAUCAAGCAAGCGGUGGGUGAGAGUGGACACCCAUUAAGUCGCCAUUUUAUAGGCAACAACCUUAUACCCACCUUAUAGACCGGCUUCGUGAAUGAGGCCUACUAACGGUAAAACGACUUGUUCUUAUACAUAUAUAUAAUAAUUAACCAUUAAUGUUAUAAAUAGUAUAAGUGUUGAAUUUUAACUUUUAAAACUCUAAGUGUUGGAAUUAAAGUUUAUUAAAGUGUGUGAAACUUUUCAAAUUCCAAAACUUGAGGGCAAGUUUUGUAACUAUCCAAAACUUUUCAUUUCAUAACUUAUGAAUUAAAGGUUCAUAAAAAUGAAGACUCUUCAUUUUCAUGUAACUUAUGUGUUUAAAUGUGUGUGUUAAAGAAAAGUGACCUUUGGAUAUCCAUAACUUGAGGACAAAUUAUGGACUCCAUUAAAACACAUAAAUGAUCAAGAAUUAAUUCUAAACAAUUCAGCAAAUAAUUCCUAUCAUCUUCUAAAUUCAUAAGAACAUGAACAUGAUCAUCAAAAUUUCAAGAAUUAUAUGAACACAUAAAAAUCAUGGAAUUUUGAUAUAUGCUAUUGUAAAUGGAUUAGAACAACCAUUACACCAACUAAAACAAGUUUUAAAACACCAAAACAGUUUAGGGUAAUGUUUCUAGUCCAUUUCCAGCAGCAAAAGUCGAAAUUCUGCAUUCUGAUCAUUCUACUCGCCGAGUGCACGAACCUACUCGCCGAGUAGGAUGAAUUUUGCCUUGAACUCGGCGAGUCCCCCCAUGGACUCGGCGAGUCCAUCAGCCAGACAGCAACAAUUUCAACUUUUUUCACUAUUUUGCAUCAAGUAUCAAACAAGCAAGCCUAGGCUCUGAUACCACUGUUGGGUUUUGAGCAAUCUAACACUUCCUAAGUGUGCAUGCAACCCUAAUAAACCUUGGAUCUAUGUUUGUCUAAAUACAUGCAAAAUAAUAAUUUUCCAAGGUUCAUAACCUAUCUAACAUGGCAUGGGGAACAUUUCAACAUAAAAGAGUUAGAAGAGAUUACAUACCUUUUUGAUGAGUUUGGUUCUUAAGGAGUUUGAGGGCCAAGCACCAAUAGUGUGAAUGCCUCAAAUGGAAUCACAAAACACCACAAACUCUUGGAAAACUUUGAGAGAGUAUACACACUUGUAUUUUUGGCCACACACAAGCACACACACACUAGUUCACUAGUUGCCAUUUCAUGCUCCAUAAGCAUGCUUAUAUAGUGUGCAUGGUUAGGGUGAAACCCUAAUAACCCAUGACCUUUCCUUUUCCAAGGAUCCAUGGGUUAAAAGCUCCAUGGAUCAUCCAUGGACUUCCAUAUAAGCCUAGCCCAUUAACAAAUGAGUGUUAGCCCACACCAUAUAAAACCAAUAGCCCAUAAUCUAAUUAGUCUUCCUUUUAAUCUCUAAAUUAAUUCAUAAUUAAUUUAAGACUAAGACUAAUUAAAUAACAUAACUUCAUAUUAAUAUAUUAUAACUUAUAAUAUAUUAAUAAACAUAUGUGUAUAACUCUCAUAAAAUUAUCCAUAAAUAGUUCGGGUGAGAUGCAACCCAAAUGGACCAUGCCGGGUCGGGUCAAGUAUAUACCAAAUAAGUUAUGGACUUAGACACCUUAUCCAACAGACUCCCACUUGGAUAAGUCUAAUAACUAUAUUUGCGUAUGUUACUUCAGGAACCAACCAGCAAUCGUAGCUCUCGAAAACUCUGUUGAACUAUGAAGCGCCAUUUUAGAUAAGUGAUCAUAUAAUCCUCUGUUCUCAUGAUAUCAGCCGGACAAAUACAUGGAACAACGUCGUACUUAUUGUCCAGCAGUUUGUUUCCCGAUUUUCGAUUUGUUUGACAAAGAACUUAAUCGAACACAUCAAUUUAGUUCUGACCGGCCGGUACAUAGGUCACAACAAAAUCAUCGAGGGGCCCAGAUAUCGCUUCUAUUUCUAGAAGGAACAGAUAAACUUCGACUCAUAUGCUUGUUCUACUACUUGUUGAAUUGUACACAAAGGCACGUUUUAUAACAUCAAGUUACUGAUGCGUUUACGUGCAAUCAAUGCACAACCAACUCAUAGGUAACAACUCAUAUCUCUAGGUUUGAAGAUUUAUAUGAUAUUACCGUCUCACGAUCACUCGAGAUAAAUUCCAUGAAGUGAUACAAGUGAGCGUGGGUUUAUUCCAAUACUCAUAACUUAUGAGCACUCAUGAAUGUUGUAGCAACCAUUGCUAUGACUAAACCCAUUUAGCCAUCUACAAACUCGAUUCAUGACAGUCUUGAUUCAUACCUACUUCCAACAUAUGAACGACUGUGGAGUGUUUAAAUAACUUAGUCAUUCGGAAAGAAUAACCUAGCUAUUUUGGAAGUCAAAACAUGCAAAGUGAAACACAAUAAUAAUCGAAUCCAAUAUGGUCUCAGAACCCUUUUGAAUAUAAAUAGAACCACCUUUUAUUUAUCACCAUAUUGAUUACACAUUAUUCAUUGUAUAAUGUUUCAAACAAUCAACUUAAGACUUGAAUAAAAACAACAGUCGUCCCAUGCUCCUAGCAUGUACACUUUGUUUUUCUAAACAAUAGUUAUGCCAUACUCCAAGUAUGCACACUAUGUUUGUCUAUGAUCCUUACAUUGUGAUGUAGAUCAAUUGAACAUGAUUCCAAUGAUACUCAUUUCACAAUCCCAAAUCCUUAUUGUAAAUGUGAGAAUCCCCGAUUCCUAUCAUUUACCAAAAAAUCUGUUAGAUUUUAAACUUUUAUGCAAUGUUCCUCUUGUAAUGAUUAUGCACAAAGUCACCAAAACCUUGUCACCAGUCAUUACAGAGUAUUCCAA